AGAAUUUAGGUGUUUUAUACUUAAUAGAGAAGUUGGUAUAAGCCAACACGGUCACGCCGCUGUAAUGUGGAGCAAGCCUCAAGAAUGUCACUGGGAAACUGGGAAGGCGAGGGAGCGAUGAAACAGAGUCAGAAGAACUGCCUAGAUUC
rnacentral:ncRNA from 1 species